AAAGACCCCAACAAAGUGAUACCUUCCCUCCACCCAGCUCUCAAAUUGCUAUUUCUUCAUCAAUGAAGGUUUAUCUAUGCAUUGCUAUUUAUAAAUGGACUUCUUCGUAUCCUGCAUUUGCUGGCAGCCGGAGUGAUCAAAAUCAGAGCAAACUUUGUUGUUACUCAUCUUCAUCAUGUCAGAGAUGGAAGGAGGGAAAUGGGAGGAUUUGAAUAUGGAUUGCUUGGUGAAUGUGUUUGAGAGAGUUAGAAUUGAAUCACUGCUAUUGGAUGUUCCCUUCACGUACAGGUCAUGGUACAAAGCCACGCUCAGCCCUCUGUGCUGGCGCCAACUUGAUUUUUCUAAACUCUCAUUUGAUUCAUGGCCUUAUGAUGAAUCCAGAUAAAGAUUGCUUGAUAAAUAGCAAUUACAUAAUAAAUUGUCUGUCACUGCAUUCAUCAAGUUUGUAGUUAAGCGUAGUGCUAGAUCUGCAACUUUUCUGUCGCUUCCAAACUGUUGCACAGAGGAAGCAUUGCUUUAUGUUACAGAUAAGUAAGUUCUACAAA